CCUACGGGUGGCAGCAGUAGGGAAUUUUGCGCAAUGGAGGAAACCCUGACGCAGCAACGCCGCGUGCUCGAUGAAGCCCUUCUGGGUGUAAAGAUCUGUCAGUGGGGACGAAACCUGACGGUACCCACAGAGUAAGCACCGGCUAACUCCGUGCCAGCAGCCGCGGUAAUACGGGGGGUGCAAGCUUUGUCCGGAAUCAUUGGGCGUAAAGAGUUCGUAGGUGGCCCGUUAAGUCUGGUGUUAAAGGCGGAAGCUCAACUUCUGUAGGGCACUGGAUCCUGGCGAGCUGGACUGCAGUAGUGGUAGAGGGAAUUCAUGGUGGAGCGGUGAAAUGCGUAGAGAUCAGGAGGAACAUCGGUGGCGUAAGCGCUUUACUGGGCCGUAAUUGACACUGAGGAACGAAAGCCGGGGUAGCAAAUGGGAUUAGAUACCCUUGUAGUC
rnacentral:rRNA from 1 species